UGAACCACCAUUUGCACCAUUGGCAGCACUUUGCUUCCAUAUGCCGUGGAGUGGGCAGGCGAUGUGGGAUGCUCAGCUGGCUGCGUGGAGUGGGUCAGGGGGACAGGGUCCUUUGCCCAAGGCUAGCUGUCUUGUCUGGAUUUGCUGCUCCUUUGUGGUGCAUGGCAUUGAGAGUAUCCUGGCAAAUUACUGAAUCUGCAUCAACCAAACAAUAAGGAAAAAUACUAGAGAGGUGCAGAACAUUAUCAACUAAAGCUGGGGACGCACCGACCCGACAUCAAAGAACUAGCGCGACGAAGAACGCCUGUUGCGUCACCUCAUGUCGCCUUUGUUUUGGCCGACAAGUUGCACCCGAACACAACGCAAAGACUACAGCUGACAGCCAGUUAACACGGACGUUCAGCACCUGCAUGAAAUUAAAUAACUCUCCACACCAGCCGGCGGCAGUACUCUGUAUUUGUCAUUCAAAAAGGGGAAACCAGAAGACAGAGGACUGCAGAUAUACACGCCUGACUCAGAGAAUUAGAA